GGCAGACGGGUGAGUAACGCGUGGUAACGUACCCUUUCCUGCGGAAUAACUCCGGGAAACUGGAAUUAAUACCGUAUACGCCCUACGGGGGAAAGAUUUAUCGGUUAAGGAUCGGCCCGCGUUGGAUUAGCUAGUUGGUGGGGUAAAGGCCUACCAAGGCGACGAUCCAUAGCUGGUCUGAGAGGAUGAUCAGCCACAUUGGGACUGAGACACGGCCCAAACUCCUACGGGAGGCAGCAGUGGGGAAUAUUGGACAAUGGGCGCAAGCCUGAUCCAGCCAUGCCGCGUGAGUGAUGAAGGCCUUAGGGUUGUAAAGCUCUUUCACCGGAGAAGAUAAUGACGGUAUCCGGAGAAGAAGCCCCGGCUAACUUCGUGCCAGCAGCCGCGGUAAUACGAAGGGGGCUAGCGUUGUUCGGAAUUACUGGGCGUAAAGCGCACGUAGGCGGACAUGUAAGUCAGGGGUGAAAUCCCAGAGCUCAACUCUGGAACUGC
rnacentral:rRNA from 1 species